UAAUUAGCGAUCAGCUGCUCGCAACAAGCAAAGAAGAUUGCGAAAAUGGGAAAAAUUGUUUUUGCCUUCCCAAAGAAGAGAGCGCGAAAAACCCGUGGCCUCCUCGCCUCUCCUCCCCUCCUCUGUGUAUGGAGCGGCGCCCAGCGACUGGAUUCCGCGCCGGGAGACUCACCCUGAACGCGUGUGUCGGUCUGGCUCGGCAGUUUCACGCACAUAUAUAAGCAUUUGUGUGUGUGUUUGUAUGUAUGUGAUUCUGUAGAGGCAACAAAUAAAAGAUUGCAUGUGCCCCACAAUGCAGACACAAACAGAUUCACAGACAUUGCAUUGAGUCGCGUCGCCAAAUGAAUAGACAAAUAUGUAUACACACACGCAGACAUAUGCGAGAGUGCCUGUGUGUUGGUGGAGCUCUAUGCAAACACAGAUACACACACUGACACACACUGACACACACACACACACACAUAGUCAUAGACCAAAUGCAGCGCCAACGUUGGUGGAGGCAAAGGCAAAGCGCGCCAACAAAAUGCGAAAACUGGGACAAAGUUGAACAGACGAGCCAAGGACGGAUAUUAGUGCGACGCGGCGCGGUGCGGCUCGGUGCGGCGCGAGCAGUUGCAUGAUGAAGCGACGACUGCUGCAGCAGUCAGCAGAGACGCCCGCAGAGAGGAGGCGAAGUUGGCAGCGAAAAAGUGGAAAACAAAAUGAAUGUUUUCUGCUGCUCCGGCAGUUGCUGUUGGUUUGGUCCAACAGCAUAUACAGUGGGCGCUCAAUGGGAUUGAGAGUAGCCAAAAAGGAUUUAAAAUUGAUUAAGAGCAAAACAGACUAUGAAGAGGAGAUAUGUAAAAUAAUAUUGUAUAUUGGAAUGAACUGAUUAUCUUAUAGGUUACCCUUGAAGUUGAAUGCAGCAACCUGUCGCGUACUGAUUAUUAAUCCUUAAUUAAUUUAUCAAACAAUUUCAAAGUAA